rnacentral:lncRNA from 7 species
AAGUAGGGAAAAUAACACUUAGUAGGAGCAACAUCUUCAACCAUUGAAAGGGAAGAAGUUUUUAAGAUCUUUAAAUGGUGUUGGGAACAAAAGGAUACAGUGGAUAUAUAACAGGGAUGGAAGCUAGAAAAUCAUAACUCAUCUGCAAGUUAGAUGAAUGCCUGCAGACCUCAGCUGUAUGAUGUAAUGAGGACGUACAGACAAGGUCUGUGGAGAAAAGCACCCUGAAAUAAUGAAGAGGACUUAAGAUUUCUGCAUAUACUCAGGUCAAGUUUGCAGGCCCUGUGCAGGUCUACAGGUUCUGCCUUUAAAGAUGCUGAGCCUUAUUAGGAGUGGUAGACCAACGUAUAGACUAUCAUCAUGCAACUCUAAUUAAAGAAUUACUAAGUAAUUAAGUAAGUCUAAGUAAUGCACAGAGUGUUAGCUUUGGUCAUUUCACUUAAUAUGUGUGAGUGUCUCAAGUACUGUCACCUUUUCCUCUGGCACAAGCCAUUAAGAGAAACAACAGUCAGGUUAUUUACACUUACAAAAUAGGCUAAAAAUACACCAUUACUGUAAAAGAGAACUGUACAAAAUAUUGCACCUAAUAAACAGGAUCAUUUAUUU